rnacentral:snRNA from 2 species
AGCUUUGCGCAGUGACAUUACCGUAGCUGAUGAUGUCCAUCCGAGGCGCGGUUAUUGCUGAUUGAAAACUUUUCCCAAUACCCCGCGAGACGACUUGAAACAUAGUCGGCUUUGCAAUUUUUGUGGGCUCUGCUUAGGG